UGGGGAAUAUUGGACAAUGGGCGAAAGCCUGAUCCAGCCAUGCCGCGUGUGUGAAGAAGGUCUUCGGAUUGUAAAGCACUUUAAGUUGGGAGGAAGGGCAGUAAGCGAAUACCUUGCUGUUUUGACGUUACCGACAGAAUAAGCACCGGCUAACUCUGUGCCAGCAGCCGCGGUAAUACAGAGGGUGCAAGCGUUAAUCGGAAUUACUGGGCGUAAAGCGCGCGUAGGUGGUUCGUUAAGUUGAAUGUGAAAGCCCCGGGCUCAACCUGGGAACUGCAUCCAAAACUGGCGAGCUAGAGUAGGGCAGAGGGUGGUAGAAUUUCCUGUGUAGCGGUGAAAUGCGUAGAUAUAGGAAGGAACACAAGUGGCGAAGGCGACCACCUGGGCUCAUACUGACACUGAGGUGCGAAAGCGUGGGGAGCAAACAGG
rnacentral:rRNA from 1 species